AAGAGCAAGGCUGAUGUGUUUACUCACAGGAGGAGGGGCUGGGAGGCUCCUGUGGACCAGCCUGCACCUCACUGCUAGGUGGAUGUCAUCCCCCCCCCCAAUUGCAGGUGGCCUUGUCCUAAGGUGCCUGGACAACAAAGGCUCAUCGCUACACCUGGCCUUCGGCUAAGACUAUUGGAACCUAGAAGUGUGGCCCAGAGUGAGCCUGGGAACUCCAGAGGGGCCGCAGUCAGUUCUGCAGAGGGCCAGGGCAUUCCCAGCCAGUUGCUGAAGACCUACCAAUUGCGUUUCUCCCGGAUGUCCCCAACAUGGGUGACAGGCUCCUCAGACAGCUCUCAGCACCUGCCCGAGUCCCACCCUCUUACAAUUUGCACCCUACUCUCCUGCCGGUACUCAUGUCUCCCACCCCUCCCUUCCCGAAGAUCCAGCGCUCCCUGCUUCCAAGCCUGAGCAGAGGAAACCGAGGCUCACGGCGGGUAUGGCGAGCCAAGAUCUCAAGAUCCAACCUGGUAUGGACUUGGCAGGUUCCUGUUUACCCGUGGCACGCGGCAGUCAGCGCGGGGACGUGUCCGUGGGAGCACAGCUGGAAGUAGGCGCGCGGAUGCCGCCAGGACCAGGGCUAGGGCGGCACCUGGGGUCGGAGUGAUACCUUACCUUCCCCGAGGGCUCCGUAGGCUUUGAAGAACUGCAACACGGGGUCGUUGCUGUACCUCUCCAAGCCCACGCUCGCGGCCUGCCGCACGUGGCGGAAGUACUUUUCCCGGCUGUAGUAGAUGAUCAAAGCCUGUGUGAGAGGAAGGCAUGGUGGUGAGAGCCCCAGUCCUUCGUCUCUGCUCUGACCCAGGCAGAGUGAGACCCGCUCCCUUGUGAGGUGCUGUGCUCCACCUCAGUGCUACACUCAGGAAGGCAAAGGCAACGUUUUCAUGCUUUUGCCUUCUCUUUCGGCAGCCCCGGGAGUAGCUCCAGGCAGCGUUGCUAGGACAGGGUUUUUAGGUGAUUGGGGGCGGGGGAUGGCAUUGAUUCUGGUUAAGACGUGAUGUAAACGUAAAUUCAGGCUUGCCAUGGGAUGGGAAGGAAGAGUAUGGGGCGAUAAUUGGAACAAUUAUGGCAGUCGUUGUGGUGACAAGCUAGGGACCGUUUUCACGGGCUCUAUGUCCACCAUCGUACACAUGAUCAUGUGUCUUUCACAAAGAAGUGGAACCCCGGGGAGAUCAGCUCUGCAGACAUCGCGCGAUAACGGGGCUAAGAUUUCAAAGCCAAGUCUCACUUCCUCUAAGGUUUGUGGGUGUUGAAUUGGGGGUAGAUGUGGUUGGAUCGGAAAAGCCUCAUGGCCCAUUUGAAGAAGCCUAGAGUCACCUCAGGGUAGCAAACAGGACGCAGUUGGCAUGGUUCUAAGUAGGGGAGUGGUGUUUUCAGAUUUUUUGGGCGGGGGUCUCGAGACAGGAUUUCUCUGUGACUUUGAAGGCUGUCCUGGAACUCGCUCUGUAGCCCAGGCUGGUCUUGAACUCAGAGAUCCACCUGCCUCUGCCUCCCGAGUGCCGGGAUUAAAGGUAUACGCCACCACCACCCUGCAUGUUUUCAGAUUUUUAAAGCUGUUUUGACAGAGUCUCAUUUUGACAGAUUGGCCUGAAACUAAACUACAUAGCUGUGGAUAACCUUGAACUCCUGAUCUUCCUCCCCCUCUCAAGUGUGGGGCUUACAAGCGUGUACCGUCAGACCCGUUUUAUGCGAUGCUAGGGAUCAGAGCCGGGAACUGACGCGUACUCUAGCUACAUCCCCGGUCACCUCAAAGGCAUACAUUCUAAGGAGAGACUCUGGCUGUUGUGUGUGGUUGCAGGAGGUCCGUGGACAGUGGCAGGCGGUAGCGCUGGUGAAGAGAGCCAGGGUAGGGAAACCAGGCUGGAGCUGUCUAGGGAGACAUGGUGGCUCUGGCUUAGGAAAUAAAACCAAGUAGUGAACCUUG